AAGUAAGUUGGCAGAAUAGUGCAAUCGAUUUAGGAUCGAUAUAUGGGGCACCCCACCUACUAA
rnacentral:tRNA from 1 species